AAAAAGAUAAAAAUAUUAGGUAGUAAAAGUUGUCUUGAAACUUAAAGAAUUUGGCGGUGUUUUAAUCUUAUCAGAGGAACUUGUUUUGUAAUCGACAAUACUCGAUAAAUCUUACCUAAUUCAAUAGCUUGUAUAUCGUUGUGGUAAUAAUAUUUUAUAAUAAUUAUUAAGGAUAAUUUUAUUUUUAAUAUCAGAUCAAGGUUCAGUUUAUAUUUAGGUAAAAAAUGAGUUACAAUAUAGAUAUAUAUUACGAAAUUCAUCAUUAAAAGUUGGAUGAAGGAGGAUUUGAAAGUAUUUUUAUAAUAAUAUGUUAGUUUGAAUUGGCUCUAAAACAUGU
rnacentral:rRNA from 1 species